CGGGCCUAACACAUGCAAGUCGAACGGGCUAGCAAUAGUCAGUGGCGCACGGGUGCGUAACACGUGGGUAAUCAACCCUUCAGCUCGGGAUAACGCCUUGGAAAGGGGCGCUAAUACCGGAUACGACGCGAGGAGCGUUCGGCUGCUUGGCGGGAAAGAUUCGCAAGGAUCUCUGAAGGACGAGCCUGCGGCCCAUCAGCUAGUUGGUGAGGUAAGAGCUCACCAAGGCGAAGACGGGUAGCUGGUCUGAGAGGAUGAUCAGCCACACUGGAACUGAGACACGGUCCAGACUCCUACGGGAGGCAGCAGUGGGGAAUAUUGCGCAAUGGGCGAAAGCCUGACGCAGCCACGCCGCGUGAGCGAUGAAGGCCUUCGGGUCGUAAAGCUCUGUGGGGAGAGAAGAAUAAAGCCUGUGAAGAAUGGGCCUUGACGGUAUCUCCUUAG
rnacentral:rRNA from 1 species